UAAGACGAACCGUGCGAACGUUAUUCGGAAUCAUUGGGCUUAAAGCGCGUGUAGGCGGAUGGGAACGUCGGCUUUGAAAGCCCCCGGCUCAACCGGGGAAUUGGCGCCGAAACGACCCGUCUCGAGGGGCAUAGGGGGAGCUGGAACUUCCGGUGGAGCGGUGAAAUGCGUUGAGAUCGGAAGGAACGCCCGUGGCGAAAGCGAGCUCCUGGAUGUCUUCUGACGCUGAGACGCGAAAGCUAGGGUAGCGAACGGGAUUAGAUACCCCGGUAGUCCUAGCCGUAAACGAUGGGCACUGGGUAGGGGGCUCGCCGAUGGGCUCCCUGCCGUAGGGAAACCGUGAAGUGCCCCGCCUGGGGAGUAUGGUCGCAAGGCUG
rnacentral:rRNA from 1 species